rnacentral:rRNA from 1 species
UACGUAGGUGGCAAGCGUUGUCCGGAAUUACUGGGCGUAAAGCGUGCGCAGGCGGUGAUGUAAGACAGAUGUGAAAUCCCCGGGCUCAACCUGGGAACUGCAUUUGGGACUGCAAGGCUGGAGUGCGGCAGAGGAGACUGGAAUUCCUGGUGUAGCAGUGAAAUGCGUAGAUAUCAGGAGGAAUACCGAUGGCGAAGGCAGGUCUCUGGGCUGACACUGACGCUCAUGCACGAAAGCGUGGGGAGCAAACAGG